UGCCCAACAGCAGGAACUGAGCUCUGGCUGCUUCAUGCUUCUGCUGGCUAUAGCUGUGAUUGCUCCUGGAUCUGCUGUGUCUCCAGACUUGCCCUUACUUUCCUGCUGGCUUCCUGGAUCUGAUUACUGGCUUCCUGGCAGUUGCUCUUGCUCAGACUACUAGGCAUGAUUGCCUGCAUUCCAGUUUGUGAUGCUAUUGAUUUGGGCUUAUCCAUCUUAAGUACUUAUAUGGCCCCUAUUGCUGUGGUGUGUGAGUACCUCACAAUCUUUUAAGAUCUCAAGUUGCAUUUGUGUGGCGUACUGAUUUUUUUCAUUCGGCUCACUUAAGUGAAAGAAUCGUAUGUUUAUGACUCUAAGAAGAGUGAUAAACAGAGUAGACCGAACAUUCAGAAAACAACCUGAAAGAGGACUCAAAAAAAGAGCCUAAGUGUCCAAAAGAAACAAGAACCUACACAAUGCUGCAAGUACAUGUACAAUAUGUGAGCUUGGACUCAAACCAGGUGCAAGAUUACUUUGCACAUCAUGCAGAACUCCAGAGGAGAUACAGCAAGCAAGCAAUGGGAGAAGGUGUGUUUCUGAAACAAGGAUUCAGCAUCUUGACAAGAACACUUCCCUUCCCUUCAGGAAAACCAUAGAAUGUUUGUUGGAUUUUAAAAUCCUCCUUUUUUUAUUAAAGCAGUCCUUUUCUCUGAGGUUUUCAUCCUGCCACAAUAGGUUGGUUAUAUACACUUGUAAAUAUACGCAUUGGAUCUGAAGCUCUAACUAUUGUUUUUCAUCUGAAAAGGAUAGCUUUUUCAAAACCGCUUCUAUUCUGUGCAAUGUAAAGUAGCCCUACAUUUAUGUCUUAAUAUUUUGGAGUUCAUGCCAGAGAUUUUUAUUUGCUUUUAGCCAGGAUUUGUUCAGUUUAAAGCCUAAAUAGUAAUAUAUGUUAAUGGACUCCAAGGGGUUUUGGGUCAGGCCCAAAAACAUAACUAUGAAGCAUAGUAAUUUUUGCACAAAAUGUAUAGUUCUGUAGCAUUUUAGUUGUAUAAUAUGUCUCUUUAAAUAACCUCUGAUUUGGGGGAAAUAAGCAAUUUAGGCUCCAGUUUUCUCUUUGAUAACCCCAAAUAUCUUUUCAUCUUCAAAAAAAAAAAUUUUGGUUAAACAGGAUUCUUAUCAAAUUUGGGAUCAACUACCUAAAUGUACAGUUGACAUUCCUAUUUUGUGAAGGUCUUAGACAAAAGUGAAUUAAAGAAGUUUAUAUUUUUCAUAUUAAACAUGCUGCAUGGAUUAACAAUCUGGAACAUGGUUAAUUGAUGGUUGUGUUUAUGGAGUUUUACAUAGAUAUCUUCUAUUAUAACCGGCUCUGACCUAGACAAUUGGAUCUCUGUCUAGUUAAACCCUUUAAAUGCUUUUUGCAUUGUACUGUAGUAACUGAAGUAUUUAUAGCAGUCAGCAUGCUGACUGCAUAUAUUGCUAAA